CCGCCGAUUCUACGCCGCCCGGUCGCCAGGGAGAGUGAAUACAGCUAGGGACGUGAAAGAACGGGGAAGAUAACCAAAGGGUGGUUUGAGAAACCCACCAGGCCAACUGGGAAUUAGAAUUGAUUCAAAACUCCAUUGAUCGCCUGACCUCCAUAAGCUCCUACUCUGCUGCAGUUGAGUGCUGCCACUUAAAUCCUGCAGUCCCGAGAUCCGGUUAUAACCAAUGCAUUUAGAUUUUUCAUUUCGGUGGCAACAAUCUUCAUUGUAAGUUCUGUCCUACAGAGAAGUGUGGUGAUCAAGCUCUUCGGAGAUACUGGGACUCCUCUCACAAAUGUAUGUCUCACAGUUAUGAUGAAUGGUGUAUCUCCUGGAUCUUCCUCAGUUGAGUAUGUUUUAAAGGAAAAAUACACUUUAUCAUUCAAAUCUUUCAAA
rnacentral:lncRNA from 1 species